rnacentral:rRNA from 1 species
UACGUAGGGUGCAAGCGUUAAUCGGAAUUACUGGGCGUAAAGCGUGCGCAGGCGGUGAUGUAAGACAGGUGUGAAAUCCCCGGGCUUAACCUGGGAACUGCAUUUGUGACUGCAUCGCUGGAGUGCGGCAGAGGGGGAUGGAAUUCCGCGUGUAGCAGUGAAAUGCGUAGAUAUGCGGAGGAACACCGAUGGCGAAGGCAGUGUCCUGGGAAGUACCUGACGCUCAGGUGCGAAAGCUAGGGGAGCGAACAGG